UGCUUCCGAAACUACCGACCUACCUCUCGAGCUAUAGCUCAGUGUUCCUAAACCCAAAUUCAAGGCAUAUUUCAACAGAAUAAAUGACGAUUCUAUUUAUGAAAUUCGAUAAUUUUAAGGUAAUUUGGAGGGAUCCGUUUCUUCUUUCCUCUCUGACUACCCCCUUUCCUCGCAACCUCUUCUGGGGAAAGUGCACAAAUUCUUGUUUAUUUGUCCUCUCAUCAGAGAAAAUGGGUAUUUCUCGUGAAUCUGUGUUCAAAAUGCGUGCCGCUAGUGCCAAGAACAAUUGAAGAAGGUUCGGAGGUUCUGAAAAUUGAAAAGGCAAGGAAGGCGAGGUAAAGUUGAGAGAAAAUGUAUUUUAAAGAGACAAGAGUAAGUAGUGCUGAGUACCUACUUGGGUUGACGCAAGUACACAACAAAUAGCAAUAAGCAGAUAAUUAAGCAUCAGCCCAUAAGUCUAAGUAAAAACUGAAGGGAUAUGUCUAAGUAACAUAGGUUAUGGUUGUUGCUGUAGUUGGAGCUGCGAUUACCCCUCUUGGAUGCUGCUUUUGUUUGGAUGUUGCAGCCUCUGUUUAUUUACUAUUUUUUAAUAAUAUUAUUGAGAUGUAAAAUUGGAUUUAGUGUUUGAUAAUAUGUAGAAUUGGAUUUGGUGUUUGAUAAUUUGUAAAAUUGGAUUUGAUA